GAGAGAGAAAAGUAAAAGAUCUGCUUUAAAAAAAAUAUGGAAUGUCAUUUAAGAUGUUUUCAUUGCAUUAUGCCAGAAGCAUUACUGCAUUCUUGUUUUCUAACAACAAUAAGAUAAUUUAUGGAACAUGUAUCACCAUAGUCUUUUGCAUUGUGACAGGAAGGAUCAUGACAUUUUCAUUCUGUAUAAGGAAAAUCUUUAUAUUUCAGUUUUCUAGAAAUGACUUCUCAGACUGCUUUUAGUAUAUUAUGUAUAUUCAGCAGAAUUGCACAGUGGCUAAGCAAAGCUUCCCAGAAAUUCUGGCGCAGCUGAUUUGGUCUAUUGAAACCUCGUUUAGAAUUGUCCUCAUAAUAAGAUCUUGAUAAAGAGCUUUAAUUAGUCUAAUUAAGCAUCUAUCCUUUUUCUAUAAAGCAUUUGUCGGCCAUAAUUUCUCCAAAUUUAAAAGGUCAAAAGGUAAUAGCAGGCAAUAAAUGCAGUUUACAGUUGUUGGCCAUUAUUGUACAAAGUGGCGUAGAAUAAAUGGGUAUUAGUAGGAAAACUGCUUCCAUACAAGCCAAUUCUCUCAUCAGUAUACAUUGUUCUGAUUCUAAGCUAACUUGCAAAUAAUUAAUGUAAACAUUUUCAUAGUUACAAUGCAAAUAACCAAAAAACAUGACAAAAAUGCCACACAUUUCUCAAAGGAACUGUCAAAUAUUUUCAUAAAGUUUUCCAAAAACGGCUAACAGCAAGAUGGUUAAGGGAGUUUGUAUAAAGGUAAAGGAGUCCCUGCAAAUUUUACUCCGCUAGUUGUUGCCGACUACAGGGGGCUGUGUUCAUUUCCAUUUCAAGGCCAUUGAGUCAGCACUCUCUGAAGACAUUUCCAUGGUCAUGUGGCCAGCAUGACAUCACAGAACACUGUUACCUUCCCACCAAAGUAUACCUAUUUAUCUACUCACAUUGUAUGCUUUUGAACUGCUAGGUUGGCAGGAGCUGGAGUGACGACAGGAGCUCACUCCAUCGCAUGAAGCUUGGGCCUCAAACCUGGGCUGCCGGCUUUCAGGCCAACAAGCCCAGUGUCUUAACCACUGUGCUACCAUGCUGCUGUUUGUAUAAUGACUGAAGGCUAAUUCUUAGUUGCAGGAAGCAAAGUCAGCAUUGGGUUGCUGGUGGACGGCUGGCCCAUGAGCAUUUAUAGAGGUGGAAUCAGUAUUGGAGCUGGAGCAUGGACACUUCAUGGUUGAAUGAACACUUCAUGUAACUCAUAAUAUUUGUAUGGUUUGGGAUUAACAUGUUAUGAAAAGCCAGCUAUUGUGUUUUCUUUCAGGGAAACAUAAUUAAAGAAAUAAUAGCUUAGCAUAGUAUAAAUGCCCUGAUAAACAGGUGAAAAAAUCUGAAUGUGACAAAAUCUGAAUCAAUCUUGGUGGCUAUAAGGAGAAAUUUUACAGGGGCGUGGAGAGACUAGCAGACUUGAGAGGUAAUAGAGAUAGAUAAACCCAGUCUGUGAAGCUGCCAAGACCCCUUAUUUCAAUUUUCCCUUGGGACUUUACAAUUAUAGUACAUUCAGGAUUCCAGAUAUUUAAAUAGUAUGGUGGUUAACAUGAUAUUUAUGGUCUCCUGCUUUUGCUGUCUGAUUAUCUAGAAACCUUUUCAUAAGAGAAGGAACCCAUUAUGAGACUUUGGCCAACAAUGGAGUUGAUUUGAAAUCAUUGAUCCAUCUGCAUCAUUGAAGAUAAAGGUGGUCUCUACACUGUAGAACCAAGAAUCUCCGCUUAGGCGGCAUAGCAGAGGCCAAGGUUCAACUUCUGAUGUCUCCAGGCAGCCUGGAGAAAUGCAUCUCUGAAAUCAUGCAGAGCUGCUGGCAUUCAGUGUCAUCGGAACUGGACUAGAUGAAAGAAUGGUUUAACUCAAUAAAAGAGCUUCCCUGACAUUUCAUCUUCUUUACUGCCUUCUUAAAACACAUGUACUUUUAUUUAAACAUUCAACUUAAUUAAAUGUGCAUUUUGCGCCUGUUAAAUAUUUUUCCUUCGUAUGUCUUUUCAAAUUUUACAUUAUUGAAUUAUUAGUUGUAUUAGCUGUCCUUAAUAUUUGUAUUUAUUAAAUGUCAUAUGGUAGCACAGAAAUCUUCUGGAUAAAUCCAAAAUAUCUACAUUUUACACUGCAGAGAGAAAAAUGUAUGGUCCCUGUUAGGAAGGUGCCAGAAUUAUUUAUGAUGCAUAUUCUGUGCCACAAGUGAAUAUGAUAUCUGAAUGCUUCAUCAUGUGUCAAAUUAUAUGCAAACAGUCCAUGUCAGUCUGAACAUUCAGAAUGACACAGUUUCAAUGCUUGCAAUAAGACAGAAUCAUUGAGUUGGAAAGGACCAUCAACGCCAAUUCUUUUCAUGUGUACUAACUCCCAAAUAAAAUGCAUGCUUGUGUUGCUGGUCCAAAGGGAUUGACUUUCUUCUUUACUACAGAUAGCGCUUGACCUGAGGUGUUUGUUAAGAGAUUUAAGUUAAGUUGUUAAGUGUUGUUGGCUUCCGGUUGCUAAGUGAGCACAUGAUUUCAUGACCUUUUUUGCCACAUUUGUUAAUGGAAUCACUGUGGCCAUUCAGGAGACAUCACGUGACUGUGACUUGCAACCUUUCCUGUCAGCUUCCCUAUUGACUGACUGGGAAGGUUGCAAAUGGCAAUCCUGUGUCCACAGGAUGCUGUGGCCAUCAUAAAUGCUUGAUUGCCAAGCACCUAAAACACAAUCACACAAACACAGAGAGGCUGCAACAAUCGUUAAGUGUUACGAAAGGAGUAAGAAAGCAAGUCACUUUUUUCAGUGCUGUCAUAACUUUAAAUGGUCACUAAAUGAAUGGUUGUUAAUGACUAACCAUAGAUGUUAAACAUGAUGUUUGAUAGGCUCUCUUUUCAGCAUAGCACUAGCUUGCUAAUGGAUUUACCUGUCACAGUACUGCAAAGAACAACAGCUGUAUUGCAAGGAGAAACACAAAUUUUAUCACAAUCUGUGAUGAUUUCAAAAUGUCUAACAUGCUGAAGUAUUAUGGAGGCUUCAUAAUAUCAAGUAUCAAAUCCUUUCUAAUUUCAAUAUUACCCAAUGUUUUAUUUUUAACAUGCACUUAUCUUGAGUUUCAAAAAAUUUGCUCAUUGCUACAUAAGCAAAUGUUAACGCCAUAUUGGAUUGUUAGAAAUUACAAACACAAGUGAUUUUAUUAAGAAUAAUGUGGGCAUUUUAAACUUAAACCAU